rnacentral:rRNA from 1 species
UACGUAGGGUGCAAGCGUUGUCCGGAAUUAUUGGGCGUAAAGAGCUCGUAGGCGGUCUGUCGCGUCGAAUGUGGAAAACCCGGGGCUCAACCCCGGGCCUGCAUUCGAUACGGGCAGACUAGAGUUCGGUAGGGGAGUCUGGAAUUCCUGGUGUAGCGGUGAAAUGCGCAGAUAUCAGGAGGAACACCGGUGGCGAAGGCGGGACUCUGGGCCGAUACUGACGCUGAGGAGCGAAAGCGUGGGGAGCGAACAGG